rnacentral:rRNA from 1 species
CCCUUAGAUGUUCUGGGCUGCACGCGCGCUACACUGAUGCGAUCAACAAGUUUUUCCUAUGUCGAUAGACACGGGUAAUCUUUUGAACUCGCAUCGUGAUGGGGAUAGAUUAUUGUAAUUAUUAAUCUUCAACGAGGAAUUCCUAGUAGGUGCAAAUCAUCAGUUUGCAUCGAUUACGUCCCUGCCCUUUGUACACACCGCCCGUCGCUGCUACCGAUUGGUUGAUCUGGUGAAUUAUUCGGACUGCCGGCUGGAGGGGUUUCCUCAUCUGCCAGCGGAAAGUCUUGUUAACCCUAUCAACUAGAGGAAGCAGAAGUCGUAACA